rnacentral:snRNA from 1 species
GAGCAUCUCAAUUUGGCAGCACAUGUACUAAAAUUGGAACGAUACAGAGAAGAUUAUCAUGGCCCCUGUGCAAGGAUGACAUACAAAUUCAUGAAAUGUUUCAUAAUUUU